GUGGGGAAUUUUGGACAAUGGGCGAAAGCCUGAUCCAGCCAUGCCGCGUGCAGGAUGAAGGCCUUCGGGUUGUAAACUGCUUUUGUACGGAACGAAAAGACUCCUUCUAAUAAAGGGGGUCCAUGACGGUACCGUAAGAAUAAGCACCGGCUAACUACGUGCCAGCAGCCGCGGUAAUACGUAGGGUGCAAGCGUUAAUCGGAAUUACUGGGCGUAAAGCGUGCGCAGGCGGUGAUAUAAGACAGAUGUGAAAUCCCCGGGCUCAACCUGGGAACUGCAUUUGUGACUGUAUAGCUAGAGUACGGUAGAGGGGGAUGGAAUUCCGAGUGUAGCAGUGAAAUGCGUAGAUAUGCGGAGGAACACCGAUGGCGAAGGCAAUCCCCUGGACCUGUACUGACGCUCAUGCACGAAAGCGUGGGGAGCAAACAGGAUUAGAUACCCGAGUAGUCC
rnacentral:rRNA from 1 species